rnacentral:lncRNA from 1 species
GAGCUUAUAGGGUGGGUGAUCCUUUGGGAAUUCUCACUGUUUCUCCGUUCACGAGUCGUUCUUAUACCGGGCCGUGAUGUACGAAGUUAGUGUGAAGAACUGAAGCUGUGCUUCAGCGGAGAAAGCCCGGUCCUGUGGGAGUCGCUGGACAUUGAAUGGCCCAAUGCGACAGAAUGCGUGGCUGCUGGGAAUCUCGUGUGUGACAUGAAGUGAGGCGGUGUAUCCGUGGCAGUGUGGCGACUACCCACUUGCAUGAAGGCACACCGGGCUGGUCAACAAGAGCUCUGCGUUGUUGCUGCUGUUGUUCUUGGAGUUCUUGUUGGGGGUCGACUUUUGAAAUGUGCAUCCAUUGGUCGGACAGCUACCGGAUCAUUCCUACAUUGGUCGCUUGACUCCACCCACUAUGGUGGGUUUCAGAAGGUGGAAUGGAGUCCUCCCAGGUCCAAAAGUAUCCACGUCAAUUUCGCGUGUUUUACAGGUAAUGCUGCGGGUGAAGACGGAAAGUGCUUGUGGCUGAAAAAGGGAAAGAUGGCAGAAGGAUGGAUCCGGCAGAGUUUAAUCUCCGAUGUCAGCAGAAAACAGAAGUCAGACCGCUGUCCUUGAAGGAAACUACAAAUCGAUGCACGGUUUUCUGCAGCAAAUUUCUCAAACUGAUUUUAUUCUACCGUGUUGAUAUAUUGCAUCUCACUCAGAAAAUAUAUUAUGGUGAGUCAAUAAUUCAAGGAAAUAGGUACAAGAUUCAUAUUGAGUGGAGACAUUAUGAAAUGUCUAAUGCUUAUUAAUUGAAU